ensembl:lncRNA
GUCCGGGGGCUCGUGGAUGCUGUGCGCGCGCGACCCGGGGGGGCGCGUGGGUAGCCCAGCGCGCGUGUCCGGGGGGCCCACCCUCGGGCCGAGGAGCGCGGCGGCGCGGGCAGCCGUUACACUCAUUACAAAUAAUAAAAGUUCAAACCGGUUGUGUCGGAAGAAGGUGAAAAUGACCGCUGGGGCUACCUCGGAUGCUGCUUGGAAUUGACAUAAACGUAGCCCUGAAAUUAAGAGACGGCGGUGCCGGGUGCCACGGGCUUCGGUCACACCUGGAGUACCACCUGGCUCUCCCCUUCCAACCAAGUGAAAACUACUCGUGUCUCUCAGUCUCCAAACUUUUUAACAGCCAAGAAUUUCAGCAAACAGCCAGAAAGAAAGCUAAGUCGCGCCCCCCCCCCACCCCCGCCACAACCCCAAGGGAAGGGAGCGAAAUAAGCACUCCUUUAAUUUGAAAAAUAAUAAUUAAAACUCCCUCAACUUUUAAGGCCGGGCAACAUAAUCUAUUAAUUGGUCGCUAUUAACAUGCCGUUUUAUUGACCACAGCACACAGAAGUCUGAUUGUGAAGGGGGAGUGUUUUCAAUGAAAGUGGAGUUAUUUUAGCUGCAGACGUGUUUACAUUUCUGUGGUUUAGUCUAUAACUUUCUCUUUCUCUUGCUUCAGAAUUCUGCUCCAUGAAGCAAAGCCCUUAGCUCCCAGACAUUCCAAAAAGUCUGCCAAAAUAAUAGAAAAAAAGAGAGAGAGAGAGAGAGGGAAGAAAAAACACACGGAGACCCCCAAGUCUGGGUCAGGCUCAGGGUUGUAAGUGGGCAUCAAGAGUAUGCCCCCUCCCUACACACUUUCCAAUUAAAAAAAAAAAAAGCCCUUUAGUGCUCUAUUUCCUGUUUGCUGGAGGGGGGCGGAGGCGGGAAAUAGGAUGAGUCUAAGCAGCAGAGUUUAGAAACCGCCUUCUCUAGGACCUAUAGAUUCUGAGAGGUUCUUUAACCCUACAGAUGCCAAAAUGAGAUCAUUGAUACAAAAAUCUACCAUUCCACCCUCUCCAAGGAAGUGUUUCUCUUUUAAACCGACCUCACCAGCUACAAAUGCAUUCCUAGGAAAUUUCUUGGACAAACAGACACACCACUGCAUAUGGGACACAAGCCCACCUCUCCAUAGGUGGGCAGAAGAUACCAAUAAAAAGGAAAUAUUGAAAACAGAUUAAGUUUCUAAGAAGCAUGCAGUCCUUUUCUCUCCGAGGUCCUGAUACAAAAAGCAGAAUGCAUAGUGAAACAUGCAUUUUAGUAAUAGGACCAUAUCAGUUUUUACAGUCUGUGCUAGAAUCGUCAUUUGCAAAAUUGACUGACUCCUUUGAAUUGCUCGGUCGGUAGUAGUAACACAGAACAGUAGGAACACAGAUGUCUCACUGCCGUUCACGAGACCUUAAAAAAUAUCCAACCUGCCUUCCCCCUUAAUUGCAUAUUUUGGUUUCUUUUCUUUAGAGCUAUUCUCCAAAGAAGCUCCGUAUCCAAGAAACCUGACCGUAUUUUGAAAUCUUCUUCUUAGCCACUCACAUCCAAAACACGCCACAGGGAGCCUUUAGGAUUUUGUUGUUUGGUGGCUAAGCCACGUCCAGUUCUUCAAGACCCCAUGGACUCUCCUCUGUCAUGGGGUUUCCCAGCCGAGAAUACUGGGAUGAAUUGCCAUUUCCUUCUCCAAGGGGUCUUCCCGACCCAGGGAUCAAACCCACAUCUGCAUUGCUGGUGGAUCUUCACUACUGAGUCACCCGGGAAGCCACCUUUAUGAUUUAGGGGAGUGCUUUAAAGUGAAUUGUUUCUCCCCCUGACCACUGAGAUCAGGAGCCCCUAGCAAUGACUCUGCUUCAUAAUUCAACAUGACCCUAGCAAGCUCCUUCAACAUCAUCACUAGGACCGAGUACUCUGAUAGGAUAGAACAAUACUGGAAGUAAUAUCCUGUUAGUAUAUUAGUAAUAGGACUUCCCUGGUGGCUCAGACGGUAAAGCGUCUGUCUACAAUGCNNNNNNNNNNNNNNNNNNNNNNNNNNNNNNNNNNNNNNNNNNNNNNNNNNNNNNNNNNNNNNNNNNNNNNNNNNNNNNNNNNNNNNNNNNNNNNNNNNNAGGAGCCUGGUGGGCUACAGUCCACGGGGUCGCAAAGAGUCGGACACGAUGUUAGUAUGUUAGUAAUACUGCUAACAUAGGAGCCUGCUUUAUGAAUAAAGAACUGUACUUUAAUAGCUGAGCAUGACUUCAACAAUCCAGGUUACCACUGUUGAGAACAAAAAAAACCAUGAGUUCAGAAAAAACACAAUAUUUGAACCAAUGGCAUCUGUGGCUCCCUUUUGCUACUUUUCUCCCCUUCCUCAAAAUACACCCCACAGAGAAAGGCAUUACAAACAUGCCCACCCCUCACACAUUUUCCAGAGGAGGGAGGAGAGGGGAGGAAAAGGGGGAGAGAAUUGUUUUGUAAAAAACAAAACCUCAUACUGAGACCACUUUCAAAGCUGAGUCUAUUAACAGUGAAAAAUCUCAGAGCCAAGAACCUCAGAGUUUUGCAAAGUUAGGACACCAUCUCCUCCAACUGAUUGGAUCUUGCAGUUGCAGUUAGGAAAUCUUUUCUCUCAUAUNNNNNNNNNNNNNNNNNNNNNNNNNNNNNNNNNNNNNNNNNNNNNNNNNNNNNNNUCAAGGGCAAAUUCUACCAGUUAAAUUAAUUAAUUUGAAAGGUCAACAGGAUACAAGUAAUGAAGACAUGUUCACUAUCUCUGCUAUGGGAAGGUCAGGAAACACGAUCAUUUAAAGUUCAUAAAAUAUCAUUUAAAAGGAAAGAUUUUAUAAAAACACCCCUUGACACAUUCCUCAAGAAUUAGCAUUUCUAAGUAUUUCAUACAGGAGAUGAUCCUUCUGUAUAAAGUUUUGUGGUCGACUUAAUUCUUUCUGAAAUCCCUUUUAUCUGAAAGAUGUUUCGGAUUAAUUUAAGUAUUUGUUACUGGAGAACGUCAAGCUCUUGGUCAAUGAAAUGUCCUGCAUUGGGUUGUCACACCUGUUAAAUAUAAGCCUCCUUUUCUUUUGAUAUUUGGAGAAGGGCCUUAAAAGGUUUACAUCCUUCAAUAUGGAGAUUUAAUUGCUCUACCUAUAAUAAAAAGUAAUCCCUAUAAAAUUCAGAUUGUGGACGUUUCAAAGCCGAAAGAACUAUUU